UAGGGAAUCUUGCGCAAUGGGCGAAAGCCUGACGCAGCCAUGCCGCGUGAAUGAUGAAGGUCUUAGGAUUGUAAAAUUCUUUCACCGGGGACGAUAAUGACGGUACCCGGAGAAGAAGCCCCGGCUAACUUCGUGCCAGCAGCCGCGGUAAUACGAAGGGGGCUAGCGUUGCUCGGAAUUACUGGGCGUAAAGGGCGCGUAGGCGGACAGUUUAGUCAGAGGUGAAAGCCCAGGGCUCAACCUUGGAAUUGCCUUUGAUACUGGCUGUCUUGAGUGCGGGAGAGGUGUGUGGAACUCCGAGUGUAGAGGUGAAAUUCGUAGAUAUUCGGAAGAACACCAGUGGCGAAGGCGACACACUGGCCCGUUACUGACGCUGAGGCGCGAAACGCGUGGGGAGCAAACAGAUUAGAGUACCCUGGUAGUCCACGCCGUAAACGAUGAAUGCUAGUUGUCGGCAUGCAUGCAUGUCGGUGACGCAGCUAACGCAUUAAGCA
rnacentral:rRNA from 1 species